rnacentral:rRNA from 1 species
GCUAGAGAAAGAGCGUACAAACGAGUGGUGUAACAAAAGGCUCGAGGUAUAGGCUCCUCUCGAGGUGCCAUAUGGAAAUUUGAUACUAUACUAUUUUUAAUUACUCUAAUUGUUUACUGUUUUGUCCCUAUUUUUGCCAUGCGAAAAUUGCCUCCCUAGCAAAUUUGAAAAGAUAAAAGGAAAAGCAGGGCAAAGCAUCUAAUCCAUGUAGAGGGUCAAAUGAUCAAAUGCCCAAAUAAAACAGGGCAAAUGAUCAAAUGUCCCACCCGGAAACGCCCACCAAAGAAAUUCGAUGGCUGUCUCCUGCUCUUCUUCCUCCGUCUCGGGCUCCGCCAAAGCCCUAGCUUGCCUCCAUACCUCCCACCUCGCGCCCCAAAGAACAGCAUCAGCCCGCUUGCGCCUACAGUGUAUCAAGAUGUGCUCUGCUCCGGCUGCGCCAGGGGGGUCAAAGAAGACCGUCUGGGUAUGGACAGAGAACCGGCAGGUGAUGACGGCAGCCGUAGAGAGGGGUUGGAACACUUUCCUCUUUGGAUCCAAAGAGGUCGGCAAGGACUGGUCAUCAACUGCUCGCAUCCAUCCUCUCUUUAUUGAUGGCCUGGAGAUUUUUGACGAGGGGAACCAAAAGGUUGCUGCAAUUUCUGAAAUCUCUUCCCCAAGUGAGCUGCAACUCAUACAGCCAGACAAUGUGGAAGUACAGAACAACGUGAUUCACUUCCGAGGUGAUUGGCAGGUUAUACCAGCAGAAAAUAUAGUUGCUGCAUUCCAAGGAUGCGCUGGAGCUGUAUUGGCUGUUUCGACAAACUCAACUGAGGCUCAAGUUUUUCUUGAGGCCUUGGAGCAAGGGCUUGAUGGAGUUGUACUUAAAGUAGAGGACAUGGAUGAUAUUAUUAAACUCAAGGAUUAUUUUGACAGAAGGAACGAGGCAAAGAGCCAGUUACAGUUGACAAAGGCUACUGUAUCAAAGGUUGAAGUUGUUGGUAUGGGCGAUCGUGUUUGUGUGGAUCUCUGUAGUAUCAUGCGACCCGGUGAAGGCCUUCUGGUUUGUGUCGGUUCCUAUGCAAGAGGAAUGUUCCUUGUUCACUCUGAAUGCUUGGAGACAAACUACAUUGCUAGCAGACCUUUCAGGGUCAAUGCAGGGCCUGUGCAUGCAUAUGUUACAGUCCCUGGCAACAAGACUAGCUACCUCUCAGAGCUGCAAUCAGGCAGGGAAGUAAUUGUUGUUGAUCAAAAUGGGUUGUGGCGAACUUCAAUUGUCGGCCGCGUGAAGAUUGAAUCAAGGCCUCUCAUCCUUGUAGAAGCAAAGGAGAACUCUGGAAAUGGCACAUAUAGCAUUUUCCUUCAAAAUGCAGAGACAGUUGCACUUAUUGGUCCUGACAGAGGAUCUGGUGGAAGGACUGCUAUUCCUGUGACUUCACUGAAAGUUGGCGACGAAGUUCUGGUGAGGAAGCAGGGCGGCGCCCGUCACACUGGAAUAGAGAUUCAGGAGUUUAUUGUCGAGAAAUGAGACACACUGUGACAUUUACCCGCCUUAGCAGGCUGGCAUGCUCAUCGCUGCUGUUUUUGUUCUCCACAACAAAUUUGUGCAAGUUCAUCAAAUCAUCACUAAACCCAAGAGACAUACGUCUAGUAUCUGUACAUUCCUGAAAUUCAAGGCUCAUUUUUCCAUUUUAUCUUUUUCAGUUGCAUAAUGUUGCAAGAGGGGAGUCCUUUCCUGUAUGUUACAUAUAUUAAUCCCUAUCUGGACAAAGGAAUUGCAAUUGCCUGAGAAAUAUGCAGCUGUGAUUAAAA